rnacentral:rRNA from 1 species
GACGGAGGGUGCAAACGUUGUUCGGAAUUACUGGGCGUAAAGGGCGCGUAGGCGGUCUGUUAAGUUCGGUGUGAAAGCCCUCGGCUUACCCGGGGAACUGCGCCGGAAACCGACAGACUCGAGUACCGGAGAGGAGGGUGGAAUUCCUGGUGUAGCGGUGAAAUGCGUAGAUAUCAGGAGGAACACCGGUGGCGAAGGCGGCCCUCUGGACGGAUACUGACGCUGAGGCGCGAAAGCGUGGGGAUCAAACAGG